GCCUCCAUAGCUUAGUGGUAGAGCGUUGCACUUGUAUUUACACGGGAUGCAGAGGUCACUUGUUCGAUCCAGGUUGGAGGCA